rnacentral:lncRNA from 10 species
ACUUGAAAGAUAGGUUGUGAAGACUGCAGAUAAUAAAUGCAAAGUACUUAACAAGAGUGCUGGGUCCAUGGUCAGCCAUUGACUACUGGCUAUUAUUAUGGUGAUUUUCUUUCUUAUUAUAUUACUACCAUUGACAUUGCUGCUGCCACUGAAGUUGUUUUGUUCUUUUUACUCUUUGAUUGGCACCAGUCAAAGAGAACUGUGACUUCUCAUUCACAUAAAUGUUUUGCACAAGAGGAAGGAAACAUUCAAAUGGAGGGACCUGGUGGGAGGUAACUGAAUCAUGGACGCAUGAUUGUGAGGCCUCCCCAGCCACCUGGAACUCUUCUAACAUAAACUAUAGCUUUUGAUGCCUCAUGUUCCCUUGGGACUUCUCAGGCUGCUUCCAUGAUCUGGCAUCCUGGACUCCGACUGAGAACAGUUAUUACCUCCUUGCUGAUUUCUGGAGCUGACCACACCUGGAAUUCCUUCUGCCAGCUCAGUUCUGUGCUGAAACAUCACCAUGCAAAUGGUCCCCAAAGUAGUCUUAUAUUUUAGGACCACAGCAGCAAACUGACAGCAAUGUAUAGCUUGUGCUC